rnacentral:rRNA from 1 species
GUAGGGGGCGAGCGUUGUCCGAAGUUACUGGGCGUAAAGCGCGCGUAGGCGGGUUGGCAAGUCUGCUGUGAAAGCCCGGAGCUUAACUCCGGAGGGUCGGUGGAUACUGCCAAUCUUGAAGGGACUAGGGGGAGAUGGAAUUACCGGUGUAGCGGUGAAAUGCGUAGAGAUCGGUAGGAACACCAGUGGCGAAGGCGGUCUCCUGGGGUUAUCUUGACGCUGAGGCGCGAAAGCUGGGGGAGCGAACGGGAUUAGAUACCCCGGUAGUCCCAGCCCUAAACGAUGGAUACUAGGUGUCGGGGGUAUCGACCCCUCCGGUGCCGCAGCUAACGCAGUAAGUAUCCCGCCUGGGGAGUACGGCCGCAAGGUUG